UACGUAGGGGGCGAGCGUUGUCCGGAUUUAUUGGGCCUAAAGCAUCCGUAGCCGGUUCUACAAGUCUUCCGUUAAAUCCACCUGCUUAACAGAUGGGCUGCGGAAGAUACUAUAGAGCUAGGAGGCGGGAGAGGCAAGCGGUACUCGAUGGGUAGGGGUAAAAUCCGUUGAUCCAUUGAAGACCACCAGUGGCGAAGGCGGCUUGCCAGAACGCGCUCGACGGUGAGGGAUGAAAGCUGGGGGAGCAAACCGG
rnacentral:rRNA from 1 species